AGUGAACGCUGGCGGUAGGCCUAACACAUGCAAGUCGAACGGCAGCACAGUAAGAGCUUGCUCUUACGGGUGGCGAGUGGCGGACGGGUGAGGAAUACAUCGGAAUCUACUUUUUCGUGGGGGAUAACGUAGGGAAACUUACGCUAAUACCGCAUACGACCUACGGGUGAAAGCAGGGGAUCUUCGGACCUUGCGCGAUUGAAUGAGCCGAUGUCGGAUUAGCUAGUUGGCGGGGUAAAGGCCCACCAAGGCGACGAUCCGUAGCUGGUCUGAGAGGAUGAUCCGCCACACUGGAACUGGGACACAGUCCCGACUCCUACGGGAGGCAGCAGUGGGGAAUAUUGGACAAUGGGCGCAAGCCUGAUCCAGCCAUACCGCGUGGGUGAAGAAGGCCUUCGGGUUGUAAAGCCCUUUUGUUGGGAAAGAAAAGCAGCAGGUUAAUACCCCGCUGUUCUGACGGUACCCAAAGAAUAAGCACCGGCUAACUUCGUG
rnacentral:rRNA from 1 species